GACAGUGACUCUCCCAAAUGAGGGAGUUAGUGAAUUAGAUGAGUGAAUGAGUGAGUGAGUGAGUGAGUAACAGUGUGAACUCGUACCUCAGAGCUCAGCUUUACUCGCUAUUAUAAUAACGCGGACAGCGAUGAGCUGAGUCGUUCUUUCGCUCUGAACCGCGAAACUCCGCUAGAAAUGUUGCCCGCCGUGACAAACAGGAGCCUCGACUUGUGGCAGGAGGGGAACAGCAGCACUUCUGAGAAGGCCGUUUCACAGCGGCCGUGGGUCUUUGCUGCUGCAGCACACAGUAAUGACUCCAGACCCGAACCGGACCUUCCAAACGUGGAUCCCCCUACGGAGAGGACUAGUGGCAUUAUCCCAGGGCUGAUAGCUGCUGCACUGUUCAUCGCCUUCCUUUUGGGUCUUUAUGCAAUGCUGUGGAAGUGCAUGGUGAGCCAGGCCAACAGGAGAAUGAAUAUGCGGAGGGUGAAGAUCCGCAAAAAGCCGGACCUGGCUGCUGAGGAACAGGCCUGAGUCAUGGACAAUGCUGUGGGGACUGUGGGAGCUGCUGGUAGCCUGAGGCUGUACCACUCUGGGUACCUUUGGGGCAACUGGGUAUCUCUCGCUCAAAAUGUGUCAUGUCUGCUCUGCUGCUUUUACAGAGGCUACAGGUUAAGAGCCUAAGACUCCCUGCAGUGCUGCGAACAAUCGCAUAUGGAUCACUGUGCUACGGAGUUGCCGGUAGCCACUAAGAUAUUUUAGGUGUUGGAAUGGCAGUAUUGCUGAAAUCUUUUUUCCUAUAGUAAAACACUUUUCCUUUGUGAGGUGCAAA
rnacentral:lncRNA from 1 species